rnacentral:rRNA from 1 species
GAUGAACGCUGGCGGCGUGCCUAAUACAUGCAAGUCGAGCGAACGGACGAGAAGCUUGCUUCUCUGAUGUUAGCGGCGGGCGGGUGAGUAGCACGUGGAUAACCUACCUAUAAGACUGGGAUAACUUCGGGAAACCGGAGCUAAUACCGGAUAAUAUUUUGAACCGCAUGGUUCAAAAGUGAAAGACGGUCUUGCUGUCACUUAUAGAUGGAUCCGCGCUGCAUUAGCUAGUUGGUAAGGUAACGGCUUACCAAGGCAACGAUGCAUAGCCGACCUGAGAGGGUGAUCGGCCACACUGGAACUGAGACACGGUCCAGACUCCUACGGGAGGCAGCAGUAGGGAAUCUUCCGCAAUGGGCGAAAGCCUGACGGAGCAACGCCGCGUGAGUGAUGAAGGUCUUCGGAUCGUAAAACUCUGUUAUUAGGGAAGAACAUAUGUGUAAGUAACUGUGCACAUCUUGACGGUACCUAAUCAGAAAGCCACGGCUAACUACGUG